rnacentral:rRNA from 1 species
GUGCCAGCAGCCGCGGUAAUACGUAGGGGGCAAGCGUUGUCCGGAUUUAUUGGGCGUAAAGAGCGUGUAGGCGGCCGUGUAGGUCCGUUGUGAAAACUCGAGGCUCAACCUCGAGACGUCGAUGGAAACCACACGGCUAGAGUCCGGAAGAGGAGAGUGGAAUUCCUGGUGUAGCGGUGAAAUGCGCAGAUAUCAGGAAGAACACCUAUGGCGAAGGCAGCUCUCUGGGACGGUACUGACGCUGAGACGCGAAAGCGUGGGGAGCGAACAGGAUUAGAUACCCUUGUAGUCC